rnacentral:tRNA from 1 species
CAAGAUGUAGCUUAAUAAAGUUUAUUAUUUACAUUAAUAGGAAGAUUUUUGGUAAAUCCUUCUUGA